UGGGGAAUUUUGGACAAUGGGCGAAAGCCUGAUCCAGCAAUGCCGCGUGUGUGAAGAAGGCCUUCGGGUUGUAAAGCACUUUUGUCCGGAAAGAAAUCCUUGGCUCUAAUACAGUCGGGGGAUGACGGUACCGGAAGAAUAAGCACCGGCUAACUACGUGCCAGCAGCCGCGGUAAUACGUAGGGUGCAAGCGUUAAUCGGAAUUACUGGGCGUAAAGCGUGCGCAGGCGGUUUGCUAAGACCGAUGUGAAAUCCCCGGGCUCAACCUGGGAACUGCAUUGGUGACUGGCAGGUUAGAGUAUGGCAGAAGGGGGUAGAAUUCCACGUGUAGCAGUGAAAUGCGUAGAGAUGUGGAGGAAUACCGAUGGCGAAGGCAGCCCCCUGGGCCAAUACUGACGCUCAUGCACGAAAGCGUGGGGAGCAAACAGGAUUAGAUACCCUGGUAGUCCACGCCCUAAACGAUGUCAACUAGUUGUUGGGGAUUCAUUUCCUUAGUAACGUAGCUAACGCGUGAAGUUGACCGCCUGGGGAGUACGGUCGCAAGAUUAAAAACUUAAAUGAAUUGACGGGGUCAUAGCU
rnacentral:rRNA from 1 species